GCGGCGCCCGGGUCCGGAGGACACGCCCCCGGGGCCGAGCCGGCCGGACCCCGGCCCGCGAGCUGCGACUCUCGGUCGCCCUCCGCCAGCUCGUCGGGCGGGGUCUGGGAGGGCGGUUCUCCCGGAGCUCGCGGGAAACUGAGCGUCGUUCACUCAUUCAUUCAUUCAUUCAUUCGUCCACUCGUUCAUCCAUCCGACACAUACUUAGGGAGCACCUAGUAUCUCCAGGCGCUGGGCAGCCAAGGGUGGGGGAGGACAGACCAUCCUGUGAACAAAGAUACCCCCACGAGCGUCUAGGUCAGCCGUGUCCAACAGAACUGCGAUGGUGGAAAUGUUCUAUAUUAUCUGCAUCCUCCAAUGCUCCAGCCACCACCCCCAUGUGGUUACUACUGAGCACUUGAAAUCUGGCUACUGCAACUGAGGAACUGAAUUUUACUUUUCAUUUCAUUUUAAUUAAAUGUAAAAAGCUGUGUGUGGCUCUUUGGA